rnacentral:tRNA from 1 species
GCGAUCUUAGUUUAGUAAGAAUGUCGAUUUGUCUUGUUGAUGGUGAUUUUUUAUCAGGUUGCU